rnacentral:rRNA from 1 species
GACGAACGCUGGCGGCGUGCUUAACACAUGCAAGUCGAACGGAAAGGCCCUGCUUUUGUGGGGUGCUCGAGUGGCGAACGGGUGAGUAACACGUGAGUAACCUGCCCUUGACUUUGGGAUAACUUCAGGAAACUGGGGCUAAUACCGGAUAGGAGCUCCUGCUGCAUGGUGGGGGUUGGAAAGCUUCGGCGGUUGGGGAUGGACUCGCGGCUUAUCAGCUUGUUGGUGGGGUAGUGGCUUACCAAGGCUUUGACGGGUAGCCGGCCUGAGAGGGUUACCGGCCACAUGGGGACUGAGAGACGGCCCAGACUCCUACGGGAGGCAGCAGUGGGGAAUAUUGCACAAUGGGCGGAAGCCUGAUGCAGCAACGCCGCGUGCGGGAUGACGGCCUUCGGGUUGUAAACCGCUUUCGCCUGUGACGAAGCGUGAGUGACGGUAAUGGGUAAAGAAGCACCGGCUAACUACGUG